rnacentral:rRNA from 1 species
UGCAGUCGAGCGGACAGAUGGGAGCUUGCUCCCUGAUGUUAGCGGCGGACGGGUGAGUAACACGUGGGUAACCUGCCUGUAAGACUGGGAUAACUCCGGGAAACCGGGGCUAAUACCGGAUGGUUGUUUGAACCGCAUGGUUCAAACAUAAAAGGUGGCUUCGGCUACCACUUACAGAUGGACCCGCGGCGCAUUAGCUAGUUGGUGAGGUAACGGCUCACCAAGGCAACGAUGCGUAGCCGACCUGAGAGGGUGAUCGGCCACACUGGGACUGAGACACGGCCCAGACUCCUACGGGAGGCAGCAGUAGGGAAUCUUCCGCAAUGGACGAAAGUCUGACGGAGCAACGCCGCGUGAGUGAUGAAGGUUUUCGGAUCGUAAAGCUCUGUUGUUAGGGAAGAACAAGUACCGUUCGAAUAGGGCGGUACCUUGACGGUACCUAACCAGAAAGCCACGGCUAACUACGUGCCAGCAGCCGCGGUAAUACGUAGGUGGCAAGCGUUGUCCGGAAUUAUUGGGCGUAAAGGGCUCGCAGGCGGUUUCUUAAGUCUGAUGUGAAAGCCCCCGGCUCAACCGGGGAGGGUCAUUGGAAACUGGGGAACUUGAGUGCAGAAGAGGAGAGUGGAAUUCCACGUGUAGCGGUGAAAUGCGUAUAGAUGUGGAGGAACACCAGUGGCGAAGGCGACUCUCUGGUCUGUAACUGACGCUGAGGAGCGAAAGCGUGGGGAGCGAACAGGAUUAGAUAUCCUGGUAGUCCACGCCCUANACCAUGAGUGCUAAGUGUUACGGGGUUUCCGCUCCCCAUUGCUUCUGCUCAU